UACGUAGGGUGCAAGCGUUGUCCGGAUUUAUUGGGCGUAAAGCGUCCGUAGGCGGUUUUGAAAGUCUGAUGUUAAAGGUUGGAGCUCAACUCCAGUAGGGCAUUGGAAACUACUUAACUAGAGUGCAAUAGGGGAAGCUGGAAUUUCCGGUGUAGCGGUGAAAUGCGUAGGUAUCGGAAGGAACACCAGUGGCGAAAGCGGGCUUCUGGAUUGCAACUGACGCUGAUGGACGAAAGCCAGGGGAGCGAAAGGG
rnacentral:rRNA from 1 species